rnacentral:rRNA from 1 species
GAUGAACGCUGGCGGCGUGCUUAACACAUGCAAGUCGAACGAUGAAGCCCAGCUUUCUGGGUGGAUUAGUUUCGAACGGGUGAGUAACACGUGAGUAACCUGCCCUUGACUCUAGGAUAAGCCCGUGAAACUGUUUCUAAUACUUGAUAGGAACUUCUACCGCAUGUUUGGUUUUGUAAUGAAUUUCGGUCUUGGAUGGACUCGAUGCCUAUCAGCUUGUUGGUGAGGUAAUGGCUCACCAAGGCGACGACGGGUAGCCGGCAUGAGAGGGUGACCGGCCACAAUGGGACUGAGACACGGCCCAGAAUCCUACGGGAGGCAGAAGUGGGGAAUAUUGCACAAUGGGCGAAAGCCUGAGGCAGAGAAGCCGCGUGAGGGAUGACGGCCUUCGGGUUGUAAACAUAUUUGAGUAGGGAAGAAGAGAAAGUGACGGUACCUGAAGAAGAAGCACCGGCUAACUACGUG